rnacentral:rRNA from 1 species
CCUACGGGAGGCAGCAGUGGGGAAUAUUGCACAAUGGGGGAAACCCUGAUGCAGCGACGCCGCGUGAGUGAAGAAGUAUUUCGGUACGUAAAGCUCUAUCAGCAGGGAAGAAAAUGACGGUACCUGACUAAGAAGCCCCGGCUAACUACGUGCCAGCAGCCGCGGUAAUACGUAGGGGGCAAGCGUUAUCCGGAUUUACUGGGUGUAAAGGGAGCGUAGACGGCAGCGCAAGUCUGGAGUGAACUCCCAUGGCUUAACCAUGGAACUGCUUUGGAAACUGUGCAGCUAGAGUGCAGGAGCGGUAAGCGGAAUUCCUAGUGUAGCGGUGAAAUGCGUAGAUAUUAGGAGGAACACCAGUGGCGAAGGCGGCUUACUGGACUGUAACUGACGUUGAGGCUCGAAAGCGUGGGGAGCAAACAGGAUUAGAUACCCUGGUAGUC